AAACCACUAGGGGAGCCUAAGCUCCCCCGGAAGUCUGAUCUGCUCGUUGUUGUUUUUCUAGCGGGCUUCUUGUUUUUGUUGAACGCCCUACCCGUGAUGCCAAUGGCUUCGUGGGAUCGCCCCCCAGAAGGGGGCCAAGAGCAAACGGAUUGCUUUGAACGCCGUAUUGAGAUGACCGAAGGUCCAACCAGUGCCGAGCUGCUUGAUCGCAGUG
rnacentral:ncRNA from 4 species